GAGAGAGAGAGAAAGAGAGAGAGUGAGAGAGAGAGAAAUAGUAAAAAGUAUGGGUGUGUAGAUGAAGACUUCAUCAGCACAGGUGAUGUCAGAGUAGGGAUGCAUGUUACCACAGCACAGGGCAUAACGAAAGGAACAACUGUGCUGACAUGCUGCGUGAAGAGAUUUCAAUUCACAGCAAGGUCGUGGGGGUGGUUGGGAUAAACUGCAUUCAUGGUUCACAUUUUAUACGAACACGCAUUUAAUAUACAUGUAAUGUAGUGCUUAUUGGUGAUGGGAAUACAUGGAAAAAAUGGUGACGGCAACAGGCAGUUAAUCAGAUAAGCUUUCUCCCUGGUUGUAAUUUCGCAUUCUUCUAUAAUUUACCAUGGCAAUAUGAGUUUUUUAUGACCGUGUUUAAUUUAGAAUUCAGUGGCACUCAGAUUUUAGGUGUAAUUUAAAUAUUAUUCUCUAGCCUCUGACCUCCUGUAAGGCAAUUUGGGUUCUUAUGGACGUAUACAUUACAGGGAUUCAGGAAUUAAUCCUUGGUACAUUUAUUUUUAUGAGACUCUCCUAGUUGAAAACACUAUGAAAUAAAAGACCUGCAAGAUGCUUUAUUAAUAAAAUGAGUUUGGUAAUUCAAAAAUGACAGCCAUCUUGCCUCAUGUCCCUAAGGAUCUUUGAAGAACUCCAUCAUAAACUGAAAAAAUAUCAUGGGAAGAUGCUGUAUUGACACUACAGAUUUAUUGCCUGAGAUCAAAAUUUAAUGAAUUCAGCGUUUUCACACUGGCAAUAAAUGCAUUAAAAUGGAUUUAUCAUGCCUGCUACAGAGCUCACGCCACCUCCUCACGAAGGUAAUUUACUGUAAAAAAUUAAACUGUUUUCUUCAGGAGUGGAAGCAAUGUUUUUGCUGUACUGCUUCAUAAUGUGAGGCACUGCUUCCUCUGCAUGGGAACCCUUCACACUUCAUUAUGCAGACCACUCAUGUUCAAGUGGAUAAAAUCAGAACCAGACUAAACACAGCAAAAGGUAUGUAUGCACACAACCAUUCAGUGGAAAUAGUCAGGCCAACUUUCAGCAGUUGAUGACUGGAUAAUUAAACAAACCCUAAAAAGUGCAUUUACAUUUCAGUCAGGAGGGGUUGUAUAUAUCUGACCGGGGUUCAUUCGAUGGACUAAUUAUAGAGGGAAUUAUGUUGAACUCACAAUAAAAAUUUAAAAUGUUUUUUUUUAAAACAAUAACAUUGAAAACAAACCAUAUUCAGAAGUAGAAUAUGGCCAUGUUUAAUCACUGAUUAUAACUUUAUGCUCUAUAAUGUGAUUGGUCGGAAAUGAAUAACCACUUCAGUGAAUCAAAAAACAAAAAACAAAAAAAUAAAUUUUAAUCGAGGUAUUAGGACCAAAUACUGUAUAUCAAUAUUGUUUCAUCUCAUUGAUGUGAUGUGUAUGCAAGCACUGAUACAAUCGAGCAGAAGCACUUUUUCCCAUGUCCUUAUCUCCUAUUCUUAGCUGAGCAGUGGUAAAAACACUUGCUGAAAUAAGGCAAGAAAGAACACAGCAGAAACUCAACCAUCAACAUCUGCAGGCCUGAGGGAGAUGGCUAUUGAGGCAAGACAAUAAAACCUUCGCGGGACAUAAACCUUUCGGGACCAGGCACACCUUUGUCCAUCACAACCAGUUUCCUGUGAAGGGAUGUAAAGACCCGCAGAAAUUCAAUAUAGGGAACAUGAGGAAACUCAGACCCCUUCUCCCCUGUGUGUUCUCUGGUUUUUUUUUUACGUCUUGCGACUGUUUCCAGAAUACAAUGCCGUGUUGAAAAACCGAUCGACUUUCAGACUGGAUUGGGCUGGGGGGUGGGGUUUGGGAGCUGAGGGUCCCAAGGAUGUUGCAAAGACUAGAUAUUGCCUGAGCUAGAUAUCCAUGAGGUGCAGAUAAGGUAAUGGCUGAUGUAGAACUGCCAUAGCUCCAAAAUGACAAAUUGUUAACUUUCACUCUCAGGGGUUGAUCCUCUAAAAAUACGUACAGAGCACAAGUCAUGCUGUUCAUUGAGAACAGCUGUGAAUGCCACUACCCAUGCCAAAUUGAAUGACUGAUUCAAGCACGAUUCAAGUAUUGAUGAAAAUAAAAUAACUGAGCACCCAAAUAGUUCGUGAGUGUAGCUCACAAGUACAAUAAAUAUGUCACUUUCUUUUUGUUUUAGCUGUGAAACAAAAUGUUUAGUCCAUCAGAUCAGCCUUCAUAAGGUAUUUUAUGAGAGAGGAUUAUGUUUCAUCUCUGCUGCACUCGUUUACAUUUUGAGGUUUUGUCUCUUCUUCCUUGUUUGAGCAAAAUAAGUAAAUAAAAGUCUCAAAAAUGGUUCUUGGUGUCAAAUUAUCUCUGAAUGCAUAAAACGUGAAAGGGUAAUUUUGUUGAUACCUAUUAUUGAAUAUGAGCAAGCGUUGAUUCAAUAACAGGACUGUUACAAACAAAAUGCCUUUUUACGAUUAAUUACUUUGGUGCAUAAAUAAUGGUGCAGAAAUAUUAAUAACAAAACAAAGGAACUGAGCCACAAAAAGUGACAUGGUUAUUGGAAUUGUAAAUCUAAAUUAUAAUCUAGAUAUUUGUCUCUGCUCAAUAUACAACAGCCUAUUUACAUUAUAGAUUAAAAUAAAUUAUAGGGGGCAGGAUCAAUGUAAUCUUUUUCAUCAUGCAAUUUGGCAUGUGGUGAUGAAUAAUUUCUGUCUCUCUUAACCCAAAGGAACCUUUGUUUAGAAGAUCCACAUUAGUGCCAGGUUUCAGGUCAUUUUGAAAACCCUGAUAAUUGUGAGUGAUAAGUCGUAAUUAUCUGUGUGAAUUGGACAUGCCCUGUACUGAGCCCAAUUUGCAUAAACAUUUGUCAUUUUGCUUCUGAAAUUAAUGUUGAAAGCAGUGUAGUUGCAUGUGCUUUCCACCCACUGAGGGUGCAUUGUGAAUCAUAUGCAACUUUUCUUUUUUUCUGGUGCUUGGCGAUGGCUGAAAAACCAUCACAAUCCAUUUCUGAAUUCCUCCUGAGAUUUUUCAGAGAGCUUGCAAUGUUUUAGUGAUAUCGAACAACACAGAAGCCUCCAAAUUUAGCAAGAAACCUCCAGCCAGUUAUUCUAUCCUUCUUUUAUCCUUUUGUAUUUGUUUACCCUUAAACAAUAUUAUGUGAAUAAUAUAUGUUGCAAUUAAGUAUAAUUUCAUAUAAAAUAUGCACUUUUAUUUAUUGCUAAAACGUUUUCCUGUUUCAUUUUCUUUGAGUCAUGCUGCCUGUUACACUGCUGAUUGCCUCCAGAAGUGUUGAAUUAAGUCAAAAUUCACUGAAGUGCUCAAAGUCCAGGUCUAACUGGGCUGGAGUAAUCCUCGGCGAAUCAGGAGAAUGAAUGACCACUGCAGUUCCCUGAUUCCAGACUCCCAGAGGACACAAUGGGGCUUCAGGGAUGGGCUGAUUCCUCAGGAAUUUAUGGCACUGCCGUUGCAUGGAGGAGCGGGGCCAACAUCGCCGCAUAAAACGCUUUACCACAUUCACCUCUCCUUCGGAAACACCACGGGGCCAUUAGAACAGAGCCGCCUUUGAUGUGCACGCUAAUUUGUGAUGCCUAAAAUGUCAGGGCGAGAGGCAGACCCAUGGUGAGAAGGGUAACACAGGUGGCUAAUGAGAGCAUCAGGCUGCUCUCUGAGGGUUCGGAAAUGAAGAUGUAUGCAUUAAAUGACACACCUUGACAGCCCUGGCAUUUCGCGUUCAUUUGUACAGAUAAUGGGAUUUAUUUUGCCAAACAGACUGGGGGGGCUCAUUAGCAUAUAUUUUGCAUAAAUUACACAGCACGGUGACAAAAGGCGCAUCUCCUGCAUUCCGAGCAUCCGUGUUUGACUGGGGCUUUUGGCAGAUGUUAUUUAAAAUCUACGGGUCAAUGCCGUCUGCAAAAGCUUUAGCAUUAGCAAUCAAGAACAUCUUUGUAGAUAUACAUAUUUACAUAUUUGUCAGUAGGUAAAACCUUGGGAACAAUGGCUCUGUAAUAAAAUAAUUGUUACUGGGCCAGGAGAGAAGUAGGUGAUGUUAUAUGAUUUAAUGGCUCCCACAGAUCCCUGGACAUGACCGUUGGGAUUCAUCAAGCAGACACUACAUUCUGCUCUUUAUUUAGUCCUAUGCACCAUGUAUGAAUGUUUGACUUUUAAAAUGACCAUUAAAUAUUUCUAGAAUCUUAUUAAACUAUUUACACGAUGUCAAAAUGUACUCAGAUUUUUGUUAUAUUUCUUGCAGCUGUGUGUAUCAUGAAAAGGGACUGGUUUUUUAUAACCGUAUAUGGACUAUUUAGCAAGUCCAUUCAGUGUACAUUUUGCUGCCAUGGCUACAAUGAUGGCUGUGGCUGUCAUUCAUCCUGAAGCAAAAAGUACUUUAGAAAAAAAGUGACCAUGUAAUAACCAUUCAUGAGAGUGAUGUGCAAUUUAAUAGAAAUGUGCACCUAUAUCCUGACAUAGAGCACAUAAUAUGGGAAUCAUCAGUCACCAGCUGAGUUAUUGCUUAUUCAUGAUUUGCAAAUGUAGAAAGCCUAACUGUAUAAUCAUUGCUUUUAUUUUAGGGAAAAAUUUACUUUUAAGAUAUCAUGUUUUACCAAUAUUUGGCUGGCAUUUUAUAUGAACAGUUUGGAAUCUUUUCUCAGGAUGCACAUGAUUUUUGAGUUAGUUAAUUUGAUUCAGUGGACAGCAGGUAAAUUAAGACAUGUCAUGUUGUCAGUGGGAAUACCCACCUGGCAGCCUGUAUCCAGAGAAUGACAGGCAAUGCUGAGCAUCAGUGACAUCAUUAAAAUAUGACAAGAACAUACUAUAUCUUCAUUAGCGCCACAUUACAAACACUCCUUUGAAUCUAAAAAUACAUUUUAGAUAGUGUACAGUUAAAAACAGACAGUGGGCCUGUAGAAUCUAUGGUACUAGCCAGGCCUAUAGCAACAAAUAUAAUUUUGUGGAGGAGGGGCAUCAGGGAGGUUAGAGGAAGUGGAUCAAAUUCAAUACUUGAACAUUUGAUUGUGCCACUGAUCACCGUUAGGGCCUACAAUAUUUUACAAUAAUCUUUAUUUCUUUCCAUAUUAAUGGGAAAAGGGAUUUAAAAAAAAAAUACUACUGGAUGGUGGUUUAAAACACUGUUGACCAGUGGGCCAACUGAAUAUAGCAAAACAGUGAUGAUGACCAUAGAAUAAUUCUAUUGAAUAUAUUUAGCCAACAUUAAUGAUGUAACUAAUAUUAAUCCAUAGUAGGCCUAUGCUACCUAGCUAGUGACAGUAAUGUACGGUGGCUAAAACUAAAACUACCAAACUAAAUAAAGCUAAACUGAAAUUGAAAUAAAAAGCUAGUGAAUAAUUUACUGUAGGAUCAGAUUUAGGUUUAGUUAAUGAAAGUAAAAACAAUAGUAUAUUUAAUAUGAAUAUAUUAUUAUAUUAAGUUUGUAUUGAUAAGCACUUUUUGAACAUAAGGUCUGUAACUACUUAGAAUUA